GGCAUUGGUGCUGCUUGGAUAUGGAAUCAUUCGGAACAGAAUGCCUAGAUGGUGAAGCAAAAACUUAAUUAAAAGAUUAUAUCUUACCACUUAAUGGGAUCUGUUAUGUUUAAUAUCAAAUAGAAGUUUGAAGGAAUGUUGCCAUUUAUUAUCUGUUCCCCCAUUUCUGUAAUUUUCCUUUUAUUAUAUUUGCGAAUAGUAACUCUAAAAUUUCCUUUAGUAACAACAUGAGCUGGAAUUGUCAGGUUCCAACAAUUGGACUUGUCAUGGGCGAGAGGGGUUUGAUUUCACGGAUGCUUUGUGCUAAAUUUAGUGGUUAUCUCACCUUCGGCACCCUUGAGUCAGGAUUCGUUUCAGCUCCUGGUCAACCAACGAUCAAGGAUUUGUUAGAUCUAUACAAUUUCAGACAGAUUGGACCUGAUACUAAAGUAUUCGGAAUUAUUGGGAAGCCUGUUGGCCACAGCAAAUCACCUUUUCUAUACAAUGAAGCAUUCAAGUCAGUUGGUUUCAAUGGGGUCUAUGUGCAUUUAUUAGUGGAUGACAUUGCAAAUUUUCUCCAGACUUGCUCAUCCACAGAUUUUGCAGGAUUCAGUCAUCUAAUGGAUCCUUGGCUAAAGGAAAAAGGAAGUUAUGCUGUCACUGGUUUCGAAAACCAUAGGUGUUGCUAAGUGAAUCUAAUUCUACAAUAUAGAUUCUGCUGUGGUAGUUGUUGAUGGUGUGAUGUAACUUUGUUUAAAACACAGCUGUACAAUUCCUCGUAAGGAAGCUGCUGUGAAGUGCUGUGAUGAAGUUGAUCCAGUUGCGAAGUCAAUAGGAGCUGUUAAUUGCAUUACAAGAAGACAAAAAGAUGGGAAGGGGAAGCUAUUUGGCUACAAUACAGAUUAUGUUGGUGCUAUUUCUGCUAUUGAGGAUGGACUACGAGGUAUUAUGUUGGUGCUAUUUCUGCUAUUGAGGAUGGACUACGAGGUAUUAUGUUGGUGCUAUUUCUGCUAUUGAGGAUGGACUACGAGGUAUUUAGUGCUUAAGAAGCCAAGAAUCUUGCUUAUGGUGCAAAAGAAAAGGGGGCAAGGGUUGUCAUUGCCAACCCAAGCUGGAUAUGAAAAGGGGGCAAGAUUUAGGUCCACAAUACAUUUGUGGUGGAUUGGAUUAUUAUUCUUUUUGUCUGCUUGGGAUAAUGUGUUACCAACCCAAGCUGUGUUUUUCAGGUUUAUGUUGACUAAGGUCUUACUGUGCUGAAUUUUUAAUUUUAUUUGUUUGCCUUCAAGAGCGAGCGAAGGAACUUGCAGAGACAAUUGGAGCAGAUGCUGUAUCUCUUGCAGAUCUGGACAAUUUCCAUCCUGAGUACGGCAUGAUUCUUGCAAACACAACAUCAAUUGGAAUGCAACCAAAGAAAGUCCUAUUUCAAAGGUUUCCCCACCACCAUGAUGCUGUUUUUUUCGUUGUGAAUUAUUAUGCAUCUCCUUGAAUGAAAAAAGGGCUAAUUACCAAAAUCCUCUAAUAAAAAAUUUGAAUAUCUAAGAAACCUUCAAAAUAUAUUUGGAUCUAUAAAACCCCAAUACAAAAUUUAUAUAUAUAAAAAACACCCAAAAUCUAACCCUCACUUGACACUAUUAAUCCAUUUGAGUUUCUUGGGAUGUAAAAUUUUCUGUUUAAACAGAAGAUUCUUUUAUUACACGUUGUUGCUCAGUUAGCACCUUCAGAGGUAAAGAGUAUUAAGAGGCUUGAUGUGUUUGCAGCACGCUUUGAGAUCUUACUCCCUGGUUUUUUAUGCUGUUUACACCCCCAAAAUAACCAGACUCUUGAGAGAAGCAGAAGAAUCUGGAGCCACGAUUGUCUCAGGGUUAGAGAUGUUUAUUGGACAGGCAUACGAACAGUUUGAGAGGUUUACUGGAUUAAGUGCCCCCGAAGAACUCUUUAAGAAGAUUAUGUCAAAGAACUGACGGUGGUUGAUUUCCCUCAAUUUUUAUUAGAAAUAUCGAAUCAUUUUCUACGUAUAAAUAAGUUCAAGAAAAUAACCCCUUUAUUAUUUUAAAUUUA